rnacentral:rRNA from 1 species
AAUGCCAGUCUCCGAGAGCAAUACCCAGCCUUAUAUGCCAUUGCUCACGAUAAGAGUAAUACUAUUGCGCAAGUGCUUAUUUCAUCCCCGCCGAAUAUUUCGUUCAGGCGGGAUUUGAUUGACCCUCGACUUUUGUCAUGGCAUAAUCUUUUAUCCUGUCUGGAUUCGAUUAAUCUGACACAAGGCCGGGAUGUGUUUCACCGGAAACUCACAACAUCAGGGUCUUACACAGUAGACUCGAUGUACCGUGUGCUUAUGCAUUCCGAGGUGCCAGUGAAUAAUAACAAAAACAUUUGGAAGUCUAAGAUUCCACUAAAAGUUAAAAUCUUUAUGUGGUAUCUUCGUAGGGGAGUUGUGCUAACCAAAGACAAUCUUGCACGGCGCAACUGGCCAGGAAGUAAGAAGUGUUGCUUUUGUGCUCAUGACGAGACAAUCAAACACCUCCUUUUCCAAUGCAAGUUUGCACGUUCUACAUGGUUAGUCAUCCAAAUAGCGUCAAAUUUGUAUCCGCCAACGAGUAUUGCCAAUAUAUUUGUUCAUUGGUUGGACGGAAUUUCAAAUAGUUUGAAAACGCUAAUAAGGGUGGGGGCGUAUGCCUUACUAUGA